UUUGCUGGCCGGGAGGCCGCUGCUGCAAAGACCAGACGCUUACUUCCAGCCCCUGGGGCUAGUGGUGUGGCCUGCUUGGCCACUUCAUUCGGAGAAGUCUUCCAGGCGUAAAAGGCGAGUAGAACCUGGGCUGCGCUGUCCGAAGGCGGGACAUGAACCCGAAGUGGCCUUCGUCUCUGUCUGGUAUCUCCUGAACAGCACCACCAGAAUUGAGGACACAUAGAACACCAUGGAGCCCAUCGGACAUUCCGGCAGUGAAGGAAAACUUACUGCAUGUUAGAGGAUCUUGCUAUGUGGUUCAAGCUGGCCUCAAACUCACAACUUUACUCCUGCCUCAGCCUCCCGUGUGCUGGGAUUACAGGCAUGUACCACCACACCUCACACUAACAAAUGGAUAUUUGAGCCCACAUCUGUCUGACUAUGCAUUUCUAUCUCCCAGGAGAGCCACUGGCUUAGUGCUUUUUAAAUUCAGUUGCUUGUGUUCCACAUCUGAGAAACACAGGCUGAGGAAGCCCUCAGCACACAGAUCGGACUUUGUCAAGUGUGGCAGUGAAGGACAAGAAGGAAAAACCAAGGCCAGGGAAGACCUGCUUUUGCUGCUCCGUUUCUUCCAGCAAACAUUCCUCAUGGCACAUCGAGAGCACUGGACCAACUUCCCACUUCAGAAGAGGGUACAGAAAUGCCAAACAGCCCUUGCUGACUCUGUGUGCUGAGGGCCGUGGGAGCACUGAGAAGUGACACGUGGCCUUAGCUGGAUCUGUUGGUGGCUGUGGGGGCAGAGCAGAGUGAGAUCCAUAAAUACCUUAACAACCCCUUCCAAAAAGGCCAAUACUCAUUUUUACAAUAAGGUCAUGCCAAGGUGUUCUGUGGGGUUUUGACAACUAAAAUGCCAACAGUAUUAGAAAUAAAUGAUUAAAAUAUCCAAAGACAUUUACUUGGUAAUAUAUAUGUAUGUAUAUUAUUUAAAACAAUUUAUUAACUCAUUAAUAAUUGGUUUUUCACAUUUGCUGUAAUACAUUCAACUUUUUCAUGAAUUGAUUUCUAUGUACUUUCCCCAAGAGCCACUUUUUGAAUACCUAGUAUUUUCUCAAAGCAUGUCAUCUCCACUGGUUUCUAAAUUGAGCAGUUUCAAACAAAUCAACUCUAUCAAUAACUUACCUACAAAAUGCAUCAAUUUUUAUAGAAUUGGAUGAGCCUUUUUUUUGCCCCCUAUCUGGAGGUGCUGGGGAUCCCACUUCAGCUCAAUCAUAGUGCUACAUCCUAACACUUUAUGGAAACUUUUAAGAUAGGGUCUUGCUAAAUUGCCCAGCCUGGCCUUAAUCUUGGUUCUCCUGCCUCUACUGCCAGAGUAGCUGAAGUUACAGGACUGAAUCACUGCUACAGCUGAAUUUCAUGUGCUUUGACAAAUGUAUUGCUUUUUGCAACCUGCACCAAAUCAGAAUCAGAACAUUUCCAUAACCCUGGAGUGUUUUUUUUCCCCCCCACUUCUUUCCUUUUAGUAUUGAUAGAACCCAGGACCCUCACUAACCUGUGUACCCAGCCCUUUUUAGUAUUUGAGACAGGGAGGAUCUCACUAAAUUCCCUCAGUGGGAAUCAAAUUUUUGAUUCUCCUGCAUCAGCCUCCCAGUCUUGGGGUUAUAGCCAUGUGUCACGAUACUCAGCUAACAUUCUAGGUUUUUUGGUGCUCCUUGGCAGUUAUUUUUUUCUAACUCCUGUCCAGCAACUACCAGUUUACUUCGUUACUCCAGAUUUUGUCAGUGGACUACUUAUAAGCAUCCAAAACAAGUUUAACUGAAGUCAUUUGAGGGUGGCAGAAGCCCAAGGUGGAUUGAACAAGCCUUGCUGACCAGAUGUGAAGGGGAGGAGAGAAGGAAAUGGGAGCGGAGGCUGCACCCAGAUGUCUGGCACAUGGAAACUCACCCACUCUCCUACCCCAGCAUGCAGAGGCUUGACAGUUUACUCAGGACUUGCUGAUCUGGCCUGAAAGAGACCUGCUGAGUGACUAAGCAAAGGGCAGGUUUACACCUCUCCAGCCUCUUCUCUGAUCCCGUAGCCAGGUGUCUGAACCAAAACACUGCCAAUGUCACGACUGCUUCAAGUCUAAUGAAAACUGAUUCCCAUGACGAUAGAGUGAUGACUCUAACAGUCUUUAGGUUUUCAAAACAGAAUGUAAAUACACUCAAAAGGCAAUAAAACAAGAAUGAAUCAUAGGACCAUCUAGGAUGUUCCAAUGCAUUUGAAGACAAGGGUCAGCAACCAGAACGCUAAGCAUACAGCAGAAGCCAGUUUUACUCACGAGGACUGGAAGCAUCCUGCUUAGAAAUGGCACAUGGAGAUCAACAAUAACCUCAAACUCUUCUACCUUUCUCAAGCCAGCAAAAGGAGCUCUAGAAAGGCUCCAUGCUUACCAAGCCACUGUGAUCCUAGGGUCCAGAUAAUUGAGUUUGGAGGUUCCCAAAGCAACUUGCUUAUUCUCCUCACGAUCUGUAGCCUGAACUUCUAGCUUCAUCAACUGCUCCUCCAGUCUCUGCACAGCCUUCUUCUUUGACUCUACUACCCUAGAAGAAUGGCAGAGUCAGUAAAAAACAAACCUGACCUUUAAACAAAAACAUACUGCAGCUAUAUUCUGUCUCUUAGAGGCAGUAAAGCUAUAAAAGGCCCAUGUACAGAGAUUUCAAAAAAAAUUUUUUUUAAAGUGUGAUAAAACCUUAAAAGAGCUGGGUGACCAGGGCCUCUGAGCAGCAGAUAAACUUUUUCCUCUUAACCAACCCUAACUUUACACAAUACUAGACACAUACUUCUUGGUCUUUGCAUCUUUCAUGACUUUGGCAUCAGCUUUAGCACUUUUCAGAUCCCUCCGAGCAUCUGCUAGCUGAUCCUUCUUGGCAUCAAUCUAGGUGGGGAAGAACAACAGUAAAGUCAGGAAAAAUAAGAUGAAGAAAAAAAAAAAAAAGAACCAAAGAGAAAACAAGAGGGCUCUACCAAAGGUAGGAGUCACUUCCACAAGUCAGGCUACUUUUCUUUGUGCUUUGUUGGGUAAAAACACAAACCAGUAUCUUCAUGAAGACACAAAGGAGAUAUAGUGGGACUGCUGAAUUCAGCUGCUACUUGUUCAUUCUAGUCUUCAGUGACCCUUCAGGGUUCUAAUAAGGCAAUAUCCUAAGCAUGGGUGCUCAUCUUUUGAUAAAAUACUCUGGUGUUAAGACUCUCUGAGAGGAAGGCACAUAUGACAGAUGUUUACUAACUAGACCUUGUGCCAAAUUUUAGUCUUUCUUGUAAAAAUACUGCAGAGCAAAUCCCUUUAGGGCACUGAGGGGUGGGUACAUGUAUUACAAAAUAAGCCCAGCUCAUUCCUCACGUUCUGCCAGUUGUCUGGGAACUGCCACUGAAGAAAAAAGGAUGUACUGAUGAGAAUAUCUAAGAUAAACAACACACGGUGAGGCCUGGCUUUGGCAUUCUUUUUUCGUAAGGAGAGAAGUCUGAGGGAACAAAGGAAAUCUUGUAGAAUCCAUAUCCAUAAAGGAAAAGACAUACAGUUCAUCCUUUUAGGUUGAAACCCCUAAAGCACCACUGGAAAAAUCUCAGUUGCUCUUGAGAUGAUGCUUACAGAUAGCAGCAAGUAAUGCCAGGGACCUAAAGCUUGAACCCAUGAAGACAUGUGGCUGGGGGCAGAAUACCAUCCUUGUGGUCACCCUGCUGACCUUUGAGGUCAAGAGAACCUCCCAGAGUAAAUAACAUGCUUGACUCACACACACAUUGGGCUGCUGCUAAACCUAGAAUUUUCUGUUAGAUACACAUACAGUCAAAGGUUGGAAACAGAGGCCACCACUGUAAAAAAAAAAAAUCAAUGAAUAUUUUUUACUAUGAGUGGCUUACUUCCAACAUCUAUGUUGUCCAAAGCCAAGCUGAAGGAACUAAUUCUAUACACAAAAGCAUCACAGUUGCUACUAGCCAGAUUCUUAGACUAGAAAUGCAGCAAACCACAAUCUUUUAACCAUUUCUGUGAAUGCUAAAUUGGCAGGGUAUGUCAAGUUCUCUCAGAGCAUCAAAGACACCAUUGAUUCACUUGGCAAA